ACCAGAAUAUAUCACUUGGUAGAACAGGAGACACUUGAUCUCAGGGUUGUGGGUUCAAGCCCCACAUUCGGCA